rnacentral:misc_RNA from 1 species
UGAGGGAGGAGGCUCUUGGGUUGUAAACCUCUUUUAUCAGGGAAGAAUUGAUGACGGUACCUGAUGAAUCAGCAUCGGCUAACUCCGUGCCAGCAGCCGCGGUAAUACGGAGGAUGCAAGCGUUAUCCGGAAUUAUUGGGCGUAAAGCGUCCGUAGGUGGCGAAUCAAGUCUGUUGUCAAAGCGUGCGGCUCAACCGCAUACGGGCAAUGGAAACUGGUUAGCUAGAGUGCGAUAGGGGUCACAGGAAUUCCCAGUGUAGCGGUGAAAUGCGUAGAUAUUGGGAAGAACACCAGCGGCGAAAGCGUGUGACUGGGUCUGCACUGACACUGAGGGACGAAAGCUAGGGGAGCGAAAGGGAUUAGAUACCCCUGUAGUCCUAGCCGUAAACGAUGACAACUAGGUGUGGUUCGUAUCGACCCGAGCCGUGCCGUAGCCAACGCGUUAAGUUGGUCCGCCUGGGGAGUACGCACGCAAGUGUGAAACUCAAAGGAAUUGACGGGGGCCCGCACAAGCGGUGGAGUAUGUGGUUUAAUUCGAUGCAACGCGAAGAACCUUACCAAGGCUUGACAUCCUGCGAAUCCUCUUGAAAGGGAGGAGUGCCUUCGGGAGCGCAGAGACAGGUGGUGCAUGGCUGUCGUCAGCUCGUGUCGUGAGAUGUUGGGUUAAGUCCCGCAACGAGCGCAACCCACGUUUUUAGUUGCCAUCAUUCAGUUGGGCACUCUAGAGAGACUGCCGGUGACAAACCGGAGGAAGGUGUGGAUGACGUCAAGUCAGCAUGCCCCUUACGCCUUGGGCUACACACGUACUACAAUGCGUUGGACAGAGGGUCGCAAGUCAGCGAUGACAAGCCAAUCUCGUAAACCAACGCUCAGUUCAGAUUGCAGGCUGCAACUCGCCUGCAUGAAGGCGGAAUCGCUAGUAAUCGCAGGUCAGCAUACUGCGGUGAAUACGUUCCCGGGCCUUGUACACACCGCCCGUCACACCAUGGGAGUUGGUCAUGCCCGAAGUCGUUACUCUAACCGUUCGCGGAGGAGGAUGCCGAAGGUGGGGCUGAUGACUGGGGUGAAGUCGUAACAAGGUAGCCGUACCGGAAGGUGUGGCUGGAUCACCUCCUUACAAGGAGACCUACCCUCUUACUCUUUUGUUGUUCAACGAGAGUUAACUAACAAGGAUGAGACAGGUCAACUAGGUCGUUCGAAGCUUUCCGAGCAAUUCGGUUUGCAAUUUUUCUGUGCUUCUAAACUAUCCCGGUUCAGGGAUGGGGGCUAUUAGCUCAGGUGGUUAGAGCGCACCCCUGAUAAGGGUGAGGUCCCUGGUUCGAGUCCAGGAUGGCCCACUUUAUCUAGACAAGGGGGUUUAGCUCAGUUGGUAGAGCGCCUGCUUUGCAAGCAGGAUGUCAACGGUUCGAGUCCGUUAACCUCCACUGAGCGUUAGUCUCAACUGAACACUGAAACAAUUCAGCAAUUCGUUUGAUUUUCCAGUCGUUAGUUUUUUAACUGUUGGGUCAAAGAAUCUGCUGGGAAUGUUCCCAGUUAAAGAACCAAGAAAACUGCAUAGUAACGUUGUCAGGUAGAAAUACAGACACCAAUGUAAGCGCGAAAGACUCAUGAAGGUGAGUGUCAU